CCUACGGGAGGCAGCAGUGGGGAAUAUUGCACAAUGGGCGAAAGCCUGAUGCAGCAACGCCGCGUGCAGGAAAACGGUUUUCGGAUUGUAAACUUCUGUUCUUAGUGAAGAAUAAUGACGGUAACUAAGGAGCAAGCCACGGCUAACUACUUGCCAGCAGCCGCGGUAAUACGUAGGUGGCAAGCGUUGUCCGGGAUUACGGGGUGUAACGGGAGCGUAGGCGGGAAGCCAAGUCAGCUGUGAAAACUACGGGCUUAACCUGUAGACUGCAGUUGAAACUGGCUUUCUUGAGUGAAGUAGAGGUUGGCGGAAUUCCGAGUGUAGCGGUGAAAUGCGUAGAUAUUCGGAGGAACACCGGUGGCGAAGGCGGCCAACUGGGCUUUAACUGACGUUGAGGCUCGAAAGUGUGGGGAGCAAACAGGAUUAGAUACCCGUGUAGUC
rnacentral:rRNA from 1 species